AUACGUAGGGGGCAAGCGUUGUCCGGAUUUGCUGGGUGUAAAGGGCGCGCAGGCGGGAUAAGUAGUCAGUGGUGAAAUCCUACAGCUUAACUGUAGAACUGCCUUUGAUACUUUUAUUCUUGAGUUCGGGAGAGAGAGACGGAAUUCCAGGUGUAGUGGUGAAAUACGUAGAUAUCUGGAAGAACACCAGUUGCGAAGGCGGUCUCUUGGUCCGAUACUGACGCUGAGGCGCGAAAGCGUGGGGAGC
rnacentral:rRNA from 1 species